UCUCCUGCCUCUGUACAGUGUCUGAGAG
rnacentral:piRNA from 1 species